rnacentral:lncRNA from 1 species
GGGGGAGUAAGCAGCAACCAGCUACAAAGAAGUGGGCCAAAUUGGAAAGUGGAUUUCAUGAUUGCCACUGAUUAUUCUACAAGCCUAGUUGAAUUUUAUUUUCUCCCUUAAUUGGUUUAUAAACUUUUCUUUGGGACAGUUUCAUCCUUCAUCCCCUUUAGAUGAGAAAAGAAAGUUAAAUGGGGAGGUGCCAAGAUGGCCAAUUAGCAGCAGCUGUGGUCUGUGACUCCCACGUGGAAGAACAAAAAUGAUGGAGUUUUGCUCUUGUCACCCAGGCUGGAGUGCAAUGGCAUGAUCCCGGCUCACUGCAACCUCUGCCUCCUCGGUUCAAGCGAUUCUCCUGCCUCAGCCUCAAAAUAGCUGGGAUUACAGCAAACACUUCCAAAGAACGUCUAAUUGACUUGAAGACCAAGGAAAUUUUGUUCCAUGAAUUUAAUAUGAAGAGUAAAGAAGAAUUCUAGUGUUCAUGGAUAUAAAGCCACUCAACUGGUGUGAUUGAUCAAACAUCUACCUCAUACAACGACCUUCUGGUGACUACCUCCAUAUGCGAUAGCUAGAUACAACUGACUGUCUUACCCCACUGACCCCCAAAUCCUGCGUGGACUUCACAGAUACACCACAGCAACCACCUCUUGGUCACAGCAUGACUCCAUGGAACUCAUGACUGCUCUAAAUCUACCAAUUAGAACUCCUCUGGGGAAAUCUACCUAGGUAACACAAUGGACCCCGGUAAAGGCCUGUGCCUGUAGGUCCCUUGCUCUCUCUUUUUUGCUCUGUAUCUUCUGGUUGGGCAAGCAUGUCCUGGACACCUCCCUCACCUUCCUUUUGGCUCUUCAAGGUGUACUUCCAUCUUCUCUCUGUAUUUGUAAAUAAUAAACUGUUUUUGUUAUUUCAUGUGUUUUGUUGGGUUGCCUCCUCUGUGUCUUACCUGACUGACACACCCAAAUCUAACCUCUUUCCCAGUCAAGGCU